GAACUCCAGUCACGAAAACUCCGCAAUACGCGAAAGCGUGACGGGGCUACCCCGAGUGUCGUCCGCUGAGGACGACUUUUCCACGCUGUAAGGAGGCGUGGGAAUAAGGAGGGGGCAAGUCUGGUGUCAGCCGCCGCGGUAAUACCAGCUCUCCGAGUGGUAGGGACGAUUAUUGGGCUUAAAGCGUCCGUAGCCGGCUCAGCAAGUCUCCCGUUAAAUCCAACGAUUCAAUCGUUGGACUGCGGGAGAUACUGUUGAGCUAGGAGGCGGGAGAGGCCGACGGUAUUUCCGGGGUAGGGGUAAAAUCCUAUAAUCCCGGGAAGACCACCAGUGACGUAGGCGGUCGGCUAGCACGCGCUCGACAGUGAGGGACGAAAGCUGGGGUAGCGAACCGGAUUAGAUACCCCGGUAAGUCC
rnacentral:rRNA from 1 species